rnacentral:rRNA from 1 species
GACAGAGGGUGCAAACGUUGUUCGGAAUUACUGGGCGUAAAGCGCGUGUAGGCGGCUUGGCAAGUCGGGUGUGAAAGCCCUGGGCUCAACCUAGGAAGUGCACUCGAAACUGCUUCGCUUGAGUGUCGGAGAGGAAAGCGGAAUUCUCGGUGUAGAGGUGAAAUUCGUAGAUAUCGAGAGGAACACCGGUGGCGAAGGCGGCUUUCUGGACGAUAACUGACGCUGAGACGCGAAAGCGUGGAGAGCAAACAGG